GACGAACGCUGGCGGCGUGCUUAACACAUGCAAGUCGAACGGAGUUGAGGAGCUUGCUUCUUAACUUAGUGGCGAACGGGUGAGUAACGCGUGAGGAACCUGCCUUUCAGUGGGGGACAACAGUUGGAAACGACUGCUAAUACCGCAUGAUACUAUUGGGCCGCAUGGUCUGGUAGUCAAAGAUUUAUUGCUGAAAGAUGGCCUCGCGUCUGAUUAGCUAGUUGGUGGGGUAACGGCCCACCAAGGCGACGAUCAGUAGCCGGACUGAGAGGUUGACCGGCCACAUUGGGACUGAGAUACGGCCCAGACUCCUACGGGAGGCAGCAGUGGGGAAUAUUGGGCAAUGGGCGAAAGCCUGACCCAGCAACGCCGCGUGAAGGAAGAAGGCC
rnacentral:rRNA from 1 species